rnacentral:rRNA from 1 species
CAUCAUGCCCCUUACUGACCUCGGGCUACACACGUGCUACAAUGGUUGGUACAACGAGUUGCGAGUCGGUGACGGCGAGCUAAUCUCUUAAAGCCAAUCUCAGUUCGGAUUGUAGGCUGCAGCUCGCCUACAUGAAGUCGGAAUCGCUAGUAAUCGCGGAUCAGCACGCCGCGGUGAAUACGUUCCCGGGCCUU